AAAUUAUCCGGGCUCGGCGUGUGACCUCCAUUGGAGACUGGCAGGCUAGAGUCUUGUAGAGCGGGCUAGAAUGGCAGGUGUAGCGAUUAAAUAUGUAUAGAUGUGGAGGAAUACCGGUGGAGAAGUUGCCGUCUAUGGACACAGACUGUCGCUCAGGUGCGACAGUGUGGGGAGCAAGCAGGAUUAGAUACCCUGGUAGUCCACGCCGUAAACGAUGUCGACUUGGAGGUUGUGCCCUUGAGGCGUGGCUUCCGGAGCUAACGCGUUAAGUCGACCGCCUGGGGAGUACGGCCGCAAGGUUAAAACUCAAAUGAAUUGACGGGGGCCCGCACAAGCGGUGGAGCAUGUGGUUUAAUUCGAUGCAACGCGAAGAACCUUACCUACUCUUGACAUCCAGAGAACUUUCCAGAGAUGGAUUGGUGCCUUCGGGAACUCUGAGACAGGUGCUGCAUGGCUGUCGUCAGCUCGUGUUGUGAAAUGUUGGGUUAAGUCCCGCAACGAGCGCAACCCUUAUCCUUUGUUGCCAGCGGUUAGGCCGGGAACUCAAAGGAGACUGCCAGUGAUAAACUGGAGGAAGGUGGGGAUGACGUCAAGUCAUCAUGGCCCUUACGAGUAGGGCUACACACGUGCUACAAUGGCGCAUACAAAGAGAAGCGACCUCGCGAGAGCAAGCGGACCUCAUAAAGUGCGUCGUAGUCCGGAUUGGAGUCUGCAACUCGACUCCAUGAAGUCGGAAUCGCUAGUAAUCGUGGAUCAGAAUGCCACGGUGAAUACGUUCCCGGGCCUUGUACACACCGCCCGUCACACCAUGGGAGUGGGUUGCAAAAGAAGUAGUGAUAGC
rnacentral:rRNA from 1 species